GUCUCACUGUGUUGCUGGUGUUGACCUUGAACUCCUGGGCUCAAGAGAUCCUCCUGCACAGCUAGAACUAUAGGCACAAGCCACUGUGGCAGGCUGAUAGUGUUGUUUAAGUAUUCUUUAUUUUUUCUAAAUUUUACCAACUGUUCAGCCAGUUAUUUAGAGAAUGUUAUUGAAAUCUCCAACUAUUCUGGAGUUUUUUAUUUUUCUUUUCAGUUCUAUGAGCUCUUGCUUCACAUUUGCAAGAUCAAUUAUUACACUUAGGGCAAUUGAUUCUUGUAUCAUCGUGAAUAACUUUUUUAUUUCUUGAUAUUAUUCUUUCUUUGAAACCUAUCUUGUUCAAUAUUAAUAUAGCCACUCCAAUCACUUACUUUUGAUUUAGUAUUAGCAUAAUAUAACUUUUCCAUUUUUAAGCCUAUGUGAAUCUUCAUAUUUAGUGUACGUUCUUAUAGUUAAUGUGUAGUUGGAUUUUAGCUUUUACUAGAAUUGACAAUUUCUGAAUUUAAUGAGGGAAAAUUUAGACCAUUUAUGUAUAAUGUGAUUUUUUUUUUGUAUUCUAGGGUUCAGGUUUAUCAUCUUGGUAUUUAUUUUCUAUUCAUCUUAUUGUUUUAUUCUCCCUUUUUCCUUUAUUCAGCCUUUAUGUUUUGAUGAUUUGAAUUUUAAAUUCCAUUUUAUCUCUGUUAGUAGCUGUAAUUCUUUUAAAAAUUAUAAUGAUUGUUUUAUCAUGUAUAACAUGUGUCUGUUAGUUUCAUAAGGCUAUUGUAAGAAAGUAUGAAAACAACAAAUAUUUUUUCUCACUAUUUGGGAAUCUAGAAGUCUGAAAUCACUGUAUUGGCAAGAUUGGUUUCUAAGGGAGGCCUUGAAGGAGAAUCUGUUUUUUGCCUCUCUCCUAGCAUCUGGAGAUUGCUGGCAAUCCCUGGUGUCCCUUGGUUUGUUAAAAGCAUCAUUUCAGUCUCAGCUUCUGUAUUCACAGUAUUUCCCUGUGUCUUUGAUGUGACCAUCUUCCCUUUGUGUGUGUCUGUGUGCCCAAAUUUCCCUUUUCUUAUAGGACAGCAAUUAUUAGAUGAAGGUCCAUUGUAAUCUGAUCUACUUCAUCUUAACUUGAUUAUACCUACAAAGACCCUGUUUCCAAAUAAGGACAUAUUCAUAGGUAUUUGAAUUAUGAUCUAAACAUUUGAGGAAGCACAAUUCUACCCACAACAACAUCUUUAGCUUCUCAUAACCUACCUUCAAGUAAUAUGCCACUUUAUAUAUAGUGUAAGAAUCUUACUUUAUACUUUCAUUUCUUCCUUCCUCAUCUGUGUUAUUGUCAUACAUUUACUUCUACAAAUGUUACAAGCCAGGUAAUAAAUAAUUAUUAUUUUUCAAUAGUCACUUUUUUUUUUUUUGGUACCGAACCCAGGGGUGCUUUACCACCAUCCAAUAACAUAUUCAUUCAUCCUGUAAUAGGUACUUAGGUUAAUUCCACUUUUUGAUAUAAAUAGUAGGAAUUUGGGGCUGGAGCUGUGGCUCAGAGAUAGAGCACUUGCUUGGCAUGUGUGAGGCCCUGGGUUCAAUCCUCAGCACCCAUAUAAAUAAAUAAAAUAAAAGAUCCAUUGACAACUAAAAAAUAUCUUUAAAAAAAUAAAUAGUAGGAAUGGGAGUGCAGAUAUCAUUUAGACAUACUAAUUUCAUUUCCUUUAGACAUAAACCCAAUAGUAGAAUUGUUGGAUCCUAUGAUAUUUUUAUUUUGGUCCCCCACCCCUCGGGUGGAAUCUCCAAACUUUUCCAUAAUGGCUGUACUAAUUUAUAUGCCCACCAUUAGUGUGAGAGUUCUCCUUUCUCUACAUCCUCACAAGUAUUUAUUUUUUGUCUUUUUGAUAAUAGUAAUUUUUUAAUAUUUAUUUUUCAGUUAUAGGUGGACACAAUACCUUUAUUUUACUUUUCAUGUGGUGCUGAGGAUUGAACCCAGUGCCUCACACAUGCUAGGUGAGCACUCUACCCCUGAACCAUAACCCCAGCCUCUGAUAAUAGCCAUUUUUGCCUGGGGUGAAAUGACACAUCAUUGUGGUUUUGAUUUAUAUUUUCCAGACAAUUAGUGAUAUUGAACAUUUAAAAAUAUAUUUCCUGGUCAUUGUAUGUUUUCUUGUGAGAAAUGUCUAUUCCAUUUAUCAAUUUUAAUUUUUUG
rnacentral:lncRNA from 1 species